rnacentral:misc_RNA from 1 species
CUGGCGCACCUCGUUUUUUUCUAUAAAGCUCAUCACACCCUUUUCCAACACUUUUCCCACGCAAGCUCCAUAACGCUCUACUCUGCCGCGAAGAAAAAACGAACAAGAAUGUCAGCGGAUCUUUUCAAAGAGGCUCUCCAGAGCCUCUCCAAGAAGGGUGUUGCGCACAUCAAGUGUGCCGGGCUCGGUCUCAAUGAUCAUCAGCUACAGCUGCUCAUCACCGCGAUCGAAAACUCACCUUCCCAUCCGGAAAUCAUUGAUGUUUCCAACAACAGCAUUACCUCCGCUGGCGUGGUUUAUCUGAUACGUUACCUGACGACUGCGUCAGUCGAAGCAGUAGACCUUCGCAAUAAUCAGAUCGACGAAGAUGGUGCUCUUACAUUCUUUCCGCUGUUCGAGAAAAAGACGUCGGUUAAGCUUCUCGACGUGCGAGGCAAUCCUUGCAGCGCUGCGACGGCGUCCCGUCUCUACUUCUUGAGCAAAACGGAGAAGUGCAGCACUGACGUGCGCUCCGCGCUACUUACUGGGAAUGCACAGCACAUCUCUUUCGCUGGCAUGACCUACGGCGAAUUGGAGAAAGAGCUAUUGCGGUUCCUCCUCCACAUGGAGGGCCUGCAAUCCGUUGAUUUCAGCGGCAUGGACCUUGGAACUGCGGGUAUGAUUACAGUCGGUACCUUUGUGAGAGACACGCAAGUGUCGGCGCUCUCUUUCUGCAAAUGCAGCUUGACAAACGACGCCGUGCUGAACUUUUUUCAAGCUGCCGACCUCGCAAAUCAACGCUACCCGAACAGUUUUGACUUUUCUUCGAACAUCGGGCUAUCAAAUGAUCUUGUGCGGAAGCUCAUUUCGACCACUUUUGAUCAGAGCCACUGCAUCACCAAUUUUGCGCUGACUAAAACGUCUGUCACACCAACGUAUGUCCGUCUGGUUCAGAAGGAGUGCGAGCUGAACCAAGAGAAUCCUGCUAUCAAGCGUGCUGUUGUCGCCCUCCGCAACAAUUCCUCUGAUGCGCAAGAGGUCAACCUUCAGUGGGAUGCUCCGCUACCCAUGUGCAUGAAUUACCUUGUUGAUUACAUCGCAGCCAGCUCGGUUAUUCAGCACCUCAACAUCAGCAACAGUUUGAUAGAUGACGCAGGGCUGGAGUUGUUGGCGGAAGCGCUUCAGAAGAACACCUCCCUCAAGGUGAUCGAAUUGGCAAACUGUCGUAUCACGGCUACUGGUAUUCAAAAACUCUUUGCUGUGCUGCAAAAGGGCAUUUGCCUGGUGCAGGAGGUCAACAUUGCCAACAACAAUCUCGAUGAAGGCAGCGUCCAGUACAUCACAGCCGCUCUCCGCGCAAAUCCGAGGUUGAAGACUCUGAACAUCAAUGUAAACCCCGCCAUUUCUCCUGCUUCCAUGCAGGAAAUUGCCGGGCUCACCAUGGUGAACCGUGCUCCGCCGCAAAUCCGUUCGGUAUUGCCUUUGAUCGAGAACAACAGCAAGGAUGUGGUCGUUCUUGAUUUUUCUGGCAAAGGUGUCACUCUCGAUGAUGACUCGGUGUGGCUUCUUGCUCAGGCGCUUCGGCUUAAUUCGACUGUGCGGCAACUUAACCUGUCACACAACUCGUUUGGUGACACGGGUGCCUCGUACCUUGCGGACUACCUUGCCGACAACCGCACCAUGCUGGAGCUUAACCUCUCCAGCUGCACGAUCGGAAAUCGCGGCGCUCAAAACCUCUGCAAGGCACUUGCGACGAAUCAAGCACUGCAGUCGUUGGAUUUGUCGAAUAACAUGAUGGAUGCGGAUUCUCUGAGCGCGCUUCCACUUGUGCUACGCGAGAACACCGCGCUCCGUGAGUUCAAGCUAGAGCGCACCCGUGUUGCCUCCGAGUUUGUUGAGCAAGUGAAGAUGGCGUGCUCUCUCAAUCGCGAGUGCGCCGCAGUGAAGCGCAUCUACUACCGUCUCCAUGAUGGGGAUGCGUCUCUCACGAAAAUUGAGCUCUCCAGCCCUGAUGAAGAGCGUGUCAUCGACGACCAAACCGUUUCCACCAUCUGCACCGUUUUGAGGAACAACACGUCUGUGGAGGUAAUUGACCUGAGUGGCAACGCUAUCGGUAAAAACGGUUGCUCGGCGCUGGCUGCGACACUAUCAGAGUGCACUUCCAAGGUGAGAAAGAUCAUUUUAUCCAAAAACCCGAUCGAUGAUGAUGCCGCGGCAGAAUUGGCGGCAUGCUUUCCGAAGAUCAAGACGCUUCGUGAGGUUAUUUUGUAUAACACCAACAUCACUAAAAUCGGAAUGGAAGCCCUUGCCAAGGGCCUCGAGGAGAACGCCAGCAUUGUGUGGAUUGGCAUCACCGAUGACGACACAGCUGAUGAGAACGUGUCGCUUCUGAUGCGGAACCUUGCCUUGAACAACGGCCCGGCGGCUCUGAAGCGUAUUACUCUUUCUAUCGAUGCUGGCGUGAUUGUCGACGACGUCGACCUGAGCCGCCCUGUGGACUGUUCGAUGGAUGAUUCGUUGUGCAAGUUUUUGUGUGCGAGCUUGGUGCGCUGCCCAACGCUGCGGUCUCUGAAUUUGGCGCACAACGAGAUUUCUUCAGCUGCUGUUCCGUACAUUCUGGAGGUGGUGGAGAUGUGUCCUUCGCUGGCAUCGCUGGAUUUAUCGGGCAACCAGAUUGAUGAAUCUGGUGCUCAGCAAAUUAUCGCUUGCUUGGAGCGUGUUUCCAACCUUCGCAGCGUGAAUUUUGCCGGGAACUUGUUCUCCGCUGAAAGUUUGGAGCGUGUUUCUCAGCUGGUUGCGUUGAACAUGGGCUCUGAAGUACUCAAGAAACUGUACCUGACAACAACGCGCGGCGAUCAGCUACCCAAUGACAUCGAUCUUAACGGAACCACAAACUCCUACAGGCUGACGGAUGAGGAGGUGGUUGUUCUUGCCGGGCUUUUGCAGAACAGCAGCACAGUGAAGUCACUGGAUCUUGGCAGCAACAGUUUUGGUGACGAGGGUUGCAUCGCAAUUGCCGAGGUACUGCGCUUCAAUCACACUAUCGAGGCGCUAAACCUCGCAGGAAAUGCGAUUGGCUCGAAAGGCGGUGAGGCCCUGUACUUUGCCCUUAAGAUCAAUCCGCAGCUACAGCAUCUGGACUUGGAAAAGACGGCUAUCCCUCGAGACGUCUUGGAGAGUAUUUCGAGUCUGCUGCACGUCAAUCAAACGCCUUAUCGUGCAGUGAUCGACAUGCGUGGCGUGAAGCUUUAUGAGCUGAAUGAUGAGACCCAGUUUCGCUCUACCGACUACUACGUGGCUCAGACGGUCACCCUUGACGCCGCCAUUGAAGGCUGCAAGCAGUCGGAGGUGAAAGCCGUUGAGUAAAAGAUGUAGCAUGAACUAUUGGUGAUACGUACAAGGAUACGAUCGCCUUCUGCAUUUUGUUUUCGUUUUCGCCACACAGGACUUAUAUACGUGCACCGCUUCUUUGCAUUCGGGUCACUUCUUCCGUCUUUUUUUUUUCACUGAUGUACUCUUUUUUUCCUCUCAUGCUCCAUGUACGCUUCUUUUUUCUCGUCCGACACAGCUCCUCUCACUAUCUUUUCUUGGAACAUAUUUUUUCUUUCACCCUUUUAACCAGUGGGAACCUACUUUAUUGAGGUUUGUUUGAGGCUGAGAUGUAAAUUCAUCAAACGUGUUUGCAGUGCCUCAAAGUUCUGCUGAGCACGUCCUCUCUUUUCUCGUUUUCCUAUGCCUUUGCGCUAUGCAUCUUAAUGUAUGUUACUCCCCAUCGCCUGCUUUCAUGGCGUACAUGCGUGGUCAAAUGACAGG